rnacentral:rRNA from 1 species
UACGUAGGGUGCAAGCGUUGUCCGGAAUUAUUGGGCGUAAAGAGCUCGUAGGCGGUUUGUCGCGUCGGCUGUGAAAACCUGAGGCUCAACCUCGGGCCUGCAGUCGAUACGGGCAAACUAGAGUUCGGUAGGGGAGACUGGAAUUCUUGGUGUAGCGGUGAAAUGCGUAGAUAUCAAGAGGAACACCUGAGGUGAAGACGGGUUGCUGGGCUGACACUGACGCUGAGGCGCGAAAGCCAGGGGAGCAAACGGG